rnacentral:rRNA from 1 species
AUUGAACGCUGGCGGCAUGCUUUACACAUGCAAGUCGAACGGCAGCGCGGGCUUCGCCCUGGCGGCGAGUGGCGAACGGGUGAGUAAUGCAUCGGAACGUGCCCAGUAGUGGGGGAUAGCCCGGCGAAAGCCGGGUUAAUACCGCAUACGACCUGAGGGUGAAAGCGGGGGACCGAAAGGCCUCGCGCUAUUGGAUCGGCCGAUGUCGGAUUAGCUAGUUGGUGGGGUAAAGGCUUACCAAGGCGACGAUCCGUAGCUGGUCUGAGAGGACGACCAGCCACACUGGGACUGAGACACGGCCCAGACUCCUACGGGAGGCAGCAGUGGGGAAUUUUGGACAAUGGGGGCAACCCUGAUCCAGCCAUGCCGCGUGCGGGAAGAAGGCCUUCGGGUUGUAAACCGCUUUUGUUCGGGAAGAAAUCCUCUGGGCUAAUACCCCGGGGGGAUGACGGUACCGGAAGAAUAAGCACCGGCUAACUACGUG